ACUUUUUUAGUAUAUUAGUAUAUUUAACUUCCAAUUAAAAGGUUUAAAUCUAAAAAAAGUA
rnacentral:tRNA from 2 species